rnacentral:rRNA from 1 species
GAUGAACGCUGGCGGCGUGCCUAAUACAUGCAAGUCGAGCGAACAGACGAGGAGCUUGCUCCUUUGACGUUGGCGGCGGACGGGUGAGUAACACGUGGGUAACCUACCUAUAAGACUGGGAUAACUUCGGGAAACCGGAGCUAAUACCGGAUAAUAUUUCGAACCGCAUGGUUCGAUAGUGAAAGAUGGCUUUGCUAUCACUUAUAGAUGGACCUGCGCCGUAUUAGCUAGUUGGUAAGGUAACGGCUUACCAAGGCAACGAUACGUAGCCGACCUGAGAGGGUGAUCGGCCACACUGGAACUGAGACACGGUCCAGACUCCUACGGGAGGCAGCAGUAGGGAAUCUUCCGCAAUGGGCGAAAGCCUGACGGAGCAACGCCGCGUGAGUGAUGAAGGUCUUCGGAUCGUAAAACUCUGUUAUUAGGGAAGAACAAACGUGUAAGUAACUGUGCACGUCUUGACGGUACCUAAUCAGAAAGCCACGGCUAACUACGUG